rnacentral:rRNA from 1 species
GGGGAAUUUUCCGCAAUGGGCGAAAGCCUGACGGAGCAACGCCGCGUGAGGGAGGAAGGCUCUUGGGUUGUAAACCUCUUUUGCUUGGGAAGAAGAUCUGACGGUACCAAGCGAAUCAGCAUCGGCUAACUCCGUGCCAGCAGCCGCGGUAAUACGGAGGAUGCAAGCGUUAUCCGGAAUCAUUGGGCGUAAAGCGUCCGCAGGUGGUUAUUCAAGUCUGCUGUUAAAGACUGAAGCUUAACUUCGGAGAGGCAGUGGAAACUGAAUGACUAGAGGUCAGUAGGGGUAGCAGGAAUUCCCAGUGUAGCGGUGAAAUGCGUAGAGAUUGGGAAGAACAUCGGUGGCGAAAGCGUGCUACUGGGCUGAAUCUGACACUGAGGGACGAAAGCUAGGGGAGCAAAAGGGAUUAGAUACCCCUGUAGUCCUAGCCGUAAACGAUGAAAACUAGGCGUGGCUUGUAUCGACCCGAGCCGUGCCGAAGCUAACGCGUUAAGUUUCCCGCCUGGGGAGUACGCACGCAAGUGUGAAACUCAAAGGAAUUGACGGGGGCCCGCACAAGCGGUGGAGUAUGUGGUUUAAUUCGAUGCAACGCGAAGAACCUUACCAGGGCUUGACAUGUCGCGAAUCCCCUUGAAAGGGGGGAGUGCCUUCGGGAGCGCGAACACAGGUGGUGCAUGGCUGUCGUCAGCUCGUGUCGUGAGAUGUUGGGUUAAGUCCCGCAACGAGUGCAACCCUCGUCCUUAGUUGCCAGCAGGUAAAGCUGGGCACUCUGAGGAGACUGCCGGUGACAAACCGGAGGAAGGUGGGGAUGACGUCAAGUCAGCAUGCCCCUUACGCCCUGGGCUACACACGUACUACAAUGGUUGAGACAAUGGGCAGCGAACUUGCGAAAGUCAGCGAAUCCCAUCAAACUCAGCCUCAGUUCAGAUUGCAGGCUGCAACUCGCCUGCAUGAAGGAGGAAUCGCUAGUAAUCGCCGGUCAGCAUACGGCGGUGAAUCCGUUCCCGGGCCUUGUACACACCGCCCGUCACACCAUGGAAGCUGGCCACGCCCGAAGUCGUUACCCUAACCCCUUGUGGGAGGGGGAUGCCGAAGGCAGGGCUAGUGACUGGGGUGAAGUCGUAACAAGGUAGCCGUACCGGAAGGUGUGGCUGGAUCACCUCCUU